rfam:Hordeum vulgare subsp. vulgare, WGS project CAJW01000000 data, contig: morex_contig_49524
GAGGUACUCCCUCCGUCCAGAAAUAUUUGUCUGAGAAAUGGAUAAAAAUGGAUGUAUUUAAAACUAAAAUACAUCUAGAUACAUCCUUUCCCCCGACAAGUAUUUCUGGACGGAGGGAGUAUUAC